AACGAACGCUGGCGGCACGCCUAACACAUGCAAGUCGAGCGCACCUUCGGGUGAGCGGCGGACGGGUUAGUAACGCGUGGGAACGUACCCUUCUCUAAGGAAUAGCCUCGGGAAACUGAGAGUAAUACCUUAUACGCCCUUCGGGGGAAGGAUUUAUCGGGGAAGGAUCGGCCCGCGUCUGAUUAGAUAGUUGGUGGGGUAACGGCCUACCAAGUCGACGAUCAGUAGCUGGUUUGAGAGGAUGAUCAGCAACACUGGGACUGAGACACGGCCCAG
rnacentral:rRNA from 1 species